rnacentral:rRNA from 1 species
CCUACGGGAGGCAGCAGUGGGGAAUUUUCCGCAAUGGGCGAAAGCCUGACGGAGCAACACCGCGUGAGGGAUGAAGGCCUCUGGGCUGUAAACCUCUUUUAUCAAGGAAGAAGAUCUGACGGUACUUGAUGAAUAAGCCACGGCUAAUUCCGUGCCAGCAGCCGCGGUAAUACGGAGGAUCCAAGCGUUAUCCGGAAUUAUUGGGCGUAAAGCGUCCGCAGGCGGUCUGUCAAGUCUGCUGUUAAAGCGUGGAGCUUAACUCCAUUUCGGCAGUGGAAACUGACAGACUAGAGUGUGGUAGGGGCAGAGGGAAUUCCCGGUGUAGCGGUGAAAUGCGUAGAUAUCGGGAAGAACACCAGUGGCGAAGGCGCUCUGCUGGGCCAUAACUGACGCUCAUGGACGAAAGCCAGGGGAGCGAAAGGGAUUAGAUACCCCUGUAGUCCUGGCCGUAAACGAUGAACACUAGGUGUCGGGGGAAUCGACCCCCUCGGUGUCGUAGCCAACGCGUUAAGUGUUCCGCCUGGGGAGUACGCAGGCAAGUGUGAAACUCAAAGGAAUUGACGG